GAUGAACGCUGGCGGCGUGCCUAAUACAUGCAAGUCGAGCGAACAGACGAGGAGCUUGCUCCUCUGACGUUAGCGGCGGACGGGUGAGUAACACGUGGAUAACCUACCUAUAAGACUGGGAUAACUUCGGGAAACCGGAGCUAAUACCGGAUAAUAUAUUGAACCGCAUGGUUCAAUAGUGAAAGACGGUUUUGCUGUCACUUAUAGAUGGAUCCGCGCCGCAUUAGCUAGUUGGUAAGGUAACGGCUUACCAAGGCGACGAUGCGUAGCCGACCUGAGAGGGUGAUCGGCCACACUGGAACUGAGACACGGUCCAGACUCCUACGGGAGGCAGCAGUAGGGAAUCUUCCGCAAUGGGCGAAAGCCUGACGGAGCAACGCCGCGUGAGUGAUGAAGGUCUUCGGAUCGUAAAACUCUGUUAUUAGGGAAGAACAAAUGUGUAAGUGACUAUGCACGUCUUGACGGUACCCAAUCAGAAAGCCACGGCUAACUACGUG
rnacentral:rRNA from 1 species